GUCCGUUAGAACGGGAUUAAAAGGCGCACGCACGCUCGUUAAGAGCCAAAACGAACUGGUUCAGCUUCCUGAAGUUCCGCAACAUGCACAAAACACUGGUGUUUGGACUUCUCCUCUUUUGCAUCGCAUUUCUCGCGAUGAAAGAAGGCACUGGGGCGGUGCAUUGUCCUCCGUAUAGUAGAAUUCCGCACUGUAACAAAGUAAAGAGUUUUAAGAGAGGAAUCUGCCGCGCUGUUCGACGACUGAACUGCGAACAACUCCUGCAAGACGAAAACUUGAACCAAAGAGUUCAGCAAUAUUAACCGCCAAAAUAACAACUUGAAAACAUUCUGUAACGUUGCAACAUUCUGUAGCCUCAAGUAAAGUGGUAAAAAGCUUACUUGGUACUAAAUUUUAAAAGAGAUUGUCAAUGAACUAAAAAUUAAAGUUUCAGUUUGUUUUUAAUACUUCA